rnacentral:rRNA from 1 species
AAUCUUCAACAAUGGACGAAAGUCUGAUGGAGCAACGCCGCGUGAGCGAAGAAGGUUUUCGGAUCGUAAAGCUCUGUUGCGAGUGACGAACAAGUACGGUAGUAACUGUCCGUACCUUGACGGUACCUCGUCAGAAAGUCACGUCUAACUACUUGCCAGCAGCCGCGGUAAUACGUAGGUGGCAAGCGUUGUCCGGAAUUACUGGGCGUAAAGCGCGCGCAGGCGGUCCUUUAAGUCUGAUGUGAAAGCCCACGGCUCAACCGUGGAGGGUAAUUGGAAACUGGAGGACUUGAGUACAGAAGAGGAAAGCGGAAUUCCACGUGUAGCGGUGAAAUGCGUAGAGAUGUGAAGGAACACCAGUGGCGAAGGCGGCUUUCUGGUCUGUAACUGACGCUGAGGCGCGAAAGCGUGGGGAGCAAACA